rnacentral:rRNA from 1 species
GACGAACGCUGGCGGCGUGCUUAACACGUGCAAGUCGAACGGAAAGGCCCUGCUUGCAGGGUACUCGAGUGGCGAACGGGUGAGUAACACGUGGGUGAUCUGCCCUGCACUUCGGGAUAAGCCUGGGAAACUGGGUCUAAUACCGGAUAGGAGCCAUUUUUAGUGUGAUGGUUGGAAAGUUUUUUCGGUGUAGGAUGAGCUCGCGGCCUAUCAGCUUGUUGGUGGGGUAAUGGCCUACCAAGGCGGCGACGGGUAGCCGGCCUGAGAGGGUGGACGGCCACAUUGGGACUGAGAUACGGCCCAGACUCCUACGGGAGGCAGCAGUGGGGAAUAUUGCACAAUGGGCGCAAGCCUGAUGCAGCGACGCCGCGUGGGGGAUGACGGCCUUCGGGUUGUAAACUCCUUUCGCUAGGGACGAAGCUUUUUGUGACGGUACCUAGAUAAGAAGCACCGGCUAACUACGUA